ACUUCCUACGGGACGCAGCAGUGGGGAAUAUUGCACAAUGGGGGGAACCCUGAUGCAGCGACGCCGCGUGAGUGAAGAAGUAUUUCUGUAUGUAAAGCUCUAUCAGCAGGGAAGAAAAUGACGGUACCUGACUAAGAAGCCCCGGCUAACUACGUACCAGCAGCCGCGGUACUACGUAGGGGGCAAGCGUUAUCCGGAUUUACUGGGUGUCAAGGGAGCGUAGACGGCAGAGCAAGUCUGAAGUGAAAUCCCGCGGCCGAACUGCGGGACUGCUUUGG
rnacentral:rRNA from 1 species